CCACUUCACACAAUUACAUGAAUAAAGCAUUACAUCAUCCAGAUACAAUCAAGGUCCGACUACGGAACCAAAAUAAAAGAAGAACCCCAAAUGCGACAAAGGUCCCCGAUCGACCCCAACUGGGCUCCACUACUGAUCAACUAGAAUGAAACAACACAAAGGGCAAGAUCUUCAUCGAGCUCCUCCUUGAGCUUGGUUGCGUCACCUGCUCGGUAACAUAGGCACCUGCAAACUGGUUUUGGAAGUAUCUGGUGAGCCAUGGGGACUCAGCAAUCUCGCACCCGCGAGAUCAAGACUAUUUAAGCUUAUAGGAAGGAUGGAGUAAUGAGGUGGAGCUGCAGCAAGCGACUAGCAUAUAUGGUGGCUAACAUACGCAAAUGAGAGCGAGAAGAGAAGGCAAAGCACGGUCGAUAAAAGUAUGAUCAAGAAGUGAUCCUAUAGCAACCUACGUCAAGCAUAACUCCAACACCGUGUUCACUUCCCGGACUCCGCCGGAAAGAGACCAUCACGGUUACACACACGGUUGAUGUAUUUUAAUUAAGGUCAACUUCGGGUUUUCUACAAUCGGACGUUAACAAAUUCCUAUCUGCCCAUAACCGCGGGCACGGCUCUCGAAAGUUCAAAUCCCUGCAGGGGUGUCCCAACUUAGCCCAUCACAAGCUCUCACGGUCAACGAAGGAAUAGACCUCCACCCGAGACAUUCCGAUCAGACUCGGUAUCCCGGUACAACAAGACAUUUCGACAGGGUAAAACUAAACCAGCAACACCGCCCGAAUGUGCCGACAAAUCCCGAUAGGAGCUGCACAUAUCUCUUUCUCAGGGCACACUCAGAUGAGAAAUCCGUACAACUAAAACCAAACCUCGAGUUUCCCCGAGGGGGCGCUGCACAGGGCUCUAGUUCGGACUUACACUCAGAGGAGCACUGGCCCGGGGGGGUUAGAAUAAAGAUGACCCUUGAGUCUGCAGAACCCAAGGGAAGGUGGUAGGUUGUUAGUGCAAAUGGUAAAACCAAUGUUGGGCAUUGCUGGAAGAGCUUUACUUAAGGCGAACUGUCAAGGGGUUCCCAUUAUAGCCCAACCGUGUAAGGAACGCAAAAUCCGGGAACAUAACACCGAUAUGACGGAAACUAGGGCGGCAAGAGUGGAACAAAACACCAGGCAUAAGGCCGAGCCUUCCACCCUUUACCAAGUAUAUAGAUGCAUUAAUUAAAUAAGAUAUAUUGUGAUAUCCCAACAAGUAAACAUGUUCCAACAAGGAACAACAUCUCCAUGUUCCAACAAGGAACAAACUUCAAUCUUCACCUGCAACUAACAACGCUAUAAGAGGGGCUGAGCAAAGCGGCAACAUAGCCAAUCAACGGUUUGCUAGGACAGGGUGGGUUAGAGGUUUGACAUGGCAAUUUGGGAGGCUGACAAGCAAAAGGUAGGCAUCGUAGCAUUGGCAUAGCAAAAGAGCGAGCAAACUAGCAUAGCAAAGAUAGUAGUGAUUUCGAGGGUAUGAUCAUCUUGCCUGAAAUCCCGCAAGGAAGAAGAACGAGUCCAUGAAGAAGACAAACGGACGUAGUCGAACGAAUCCUCACAACUCCGGAACGAAACCGAAGCUAACAAGAGAAGCAAACCGGAAAGAAGCAAACAACCAUGGUAAACACACAAGCAUAGUCAAGGCAUGAUGCACAAUCAAGUAUGAUGCAUGUCCGGUUUAAUGAGGCAUGGCAUGGCAAUGUGCACAAACAAUCCUACAAAUUAAGUGGAGCUCAAUAUGCAACGAGGUGCAUGUUGACGGAACACCACAUCAAUCAUUUAGUUAUCUCUCAUUUAAGCUACCCAACAAUAUUAACUGUUGUUAAACAGGGCAAGCGGGUGAAGCAAAAUAUAAACUAUACCAUCUAAACAAUUUAAAUGGGGCCGGAUAUAAAAACAACAAAUCCGGUAAAUCCCCAUAUGCAUUUAGCAAUUUAAUGCAACAACAAGUUUAAACAUUUUAAAUGUUGUUAUCAUGAUGCGGAUGACAUAUACAAGUUUUAUGCAAUUUUAUGAAAAUGUUGACAUGAGCAUGUUAUGAAGCAUUUGGUCACCAUGGCGGAACAAAAAGGGUGCCACAGCGGCGAAACAAAAAUGGUGCCACGGCAACAUUCCGGUCCCGAUAGCUCAUGGAGAUACCGGUGCAAAAGGAAAAGUGACGAGAGCGUGACAUGCGAUAGAAGGUGGGGUGAUCCCGGUUACCGGGUUCCCACGGUUCAUCGGCAUGGCGAACGAGGAGGAACGUGCAUGAAGCAAACGGGCACGGUGCAAACAUAGGGUGCAUCUCAUACAAGCAAGGGCAUCUCAUCGCGGUCGUCGUCUCGGGGUUAUACCUUCGAAGCGUGCGUUUCGGGCGGAUCGAGUUCGUAGAGGGAAGUAGACGUUCACGGGCGUCGUGGAAGUAGUGGUACACGUUCGUUUUCGGAGAGGUACUUGACGAAUCCAACAUCUUCGGGGCGACGGUAGUGGUUCACGGACGUCGUGGAAGUAGUUGUUCUUGCAGCAGUCGUGGAAGUAGACGUUCACGUUUGGAGAGGAACUUGUCGCAACCAAGUCCUUCGGGGCUCGUCGGUAGUGGUACUUGGCGAAAUGCACGUCGACGGUAGUCGUUCUAGGCAGGAAACAGUAGUUGUACACGGGUCUUCGGCGUCGAGGUACUUGGCGUUCCAAAACAGAGCAACACCAAAAGGCCUAGGGUCUUGGCGAUGUAGAUGAACACGAGGUCCUGCCCGGGGCUGGUCUUGGCCUUGGCGUUCCUGGUCGAUGAGGGCGAGCGGAGGCGCAUCCUCCUCCCUGCUCGAACAAGGCAGAGGCGGGGCAUGGGGCUGCUCCUGCAAAGGGGCGACAGGAGCCGGACGGUGGCGCUCGGGGAUGGCUGAGGCGGAACCAGAUGGCGAGGCGGCAAGCUUGGUGCGGGCGCCGGGGCCGCCGGAGUUGGCCGAGCUCGGGGGCGAGCUCCUGGCUGGCAAGGGGAGCGAGGAGCGCGGGACGGCAGCCAGCAGCGGCUCCUGUGGCCGGCGGGCGGAGGUCCAGGAGAGGUGGAGAAGUGGUGGCGCGGGCGAGGUCGGCGCUGCGGCGCAGCUCGACGGCGACAAGGCAGCAGAGGGACGCGGGCAGGAGGUGAAGAAGACGACGCAGCAGCGGGACGAUGGGGAUGGACGGAGGAGAUGGGCUCGCCGGCCAGAACGACGGCGCAGCGGCAGAGGAAGAAGGGGCGUGAGGGAGGAGAUCGAGGGGAGAUGGGGAUCGAGCGAGGAGCUCUCGCUCCUCUCUGGCGGCGCGAGCAGGGGAAGGAGAUGGGGAUCGAGGAGAGGUAGAUGGCGGCGUGAGGGAUCGGGCGAGAAGAGAGGACGAGGGAGAUGGGAUCGGGAGAAGGGUGCGGCUAGGGUUAGAAGGCAGGGGCCGGCUGGGCCUUGGGAUGCGGAUGGAGCAGGCGCUGGCUGAGCUAAUGGGCCGGCCGGGUGGCCGAGGCCCAGGUAGCUGAUGCCGCUGCUUUUUUAUUUCUUCAGACAGAAAUACAAAAAGGAAAAAGCAGGGGGAAAAGGAGAGGAGCUAGAGAAAUAUAAAAAUAUAUUCAUGAUCCUGAAAAUGUGCUCUAUUUAACAAAAUUGGUUUGGAGAUUUUAAAGGAAGAAAAAUAAUUCAAGUUUGAAUUAAACUCAAACUUGAAGCAUUUUAAACCCUAACCAAAACAAUUUCAAAAGAGAUGAAAUUUGACAGAGAGGUUGAGGGCAUGGUCGAGAAUUUAUAGGAUAAAUAGAGAAGGGGAAAGUGGCACUUGCAAAAGAAAGGAACUAGAAGGAAAAGAGAAGGAGAUGAUGCAUGGGACAAAGGCAUUGGGAUAUUUUGCAAGUGUGUUUGCGGUAAUUCCAAACGAGUGGAAUAUUUUUAUUUAGCUCCCUAAUAUUGGGAGGAUAUGUUAUAAAGAGAAUCAUCGUGUGAGUCCCUCGAUUUAAAUGGAUCGAAAAAUCCAUACAAUUUAUUUAGUUGAGGUUUUAAAAAUUAAUGAUAUGAUGGCAUGAUGACAUGAUGCAAUGCACAUGAUGCAAGGAUGAAUGCAACAAAUAAAACAAAUCACACGACGAAACUCGGAGUAGCUGGAAGUCUUCUGGAGCGUCGGUCUCGGGGCGUUACAACACUCCACCACUACGAGAGGAUCUCGUCCCGAGAUCUAGAAUGGCACCGAAGAGAAACGGAAGAGGAAGAGAAGAGGUAAACCUAAGUUGCUUCUUCGACCAAUGAGUGAAACCAAAGAACCUUGAGAGGUUGAGCAAUUUAAAAGAAAGAGCACAACUGAGAAGAACUCCGUUAGAAAAAAAAAGGAACAAGGAACAUUACGAGAACUUGAAGGUUGCAAAGACAUGAAUCAAGAGUUUAAUGGACAAGAUAGAAUUCGAAACCACUCCGGUUAAAACAAGAUGAGAGGGGAAGAAUUCGGGCAGUACUCCGGUUGAACAUGGAAGGAAUAGAACAUGAACUUGAGAAGAUGGGAUGUUACUUGAUGAAAUCAACAACACACUGCCUCCGGAACUAUUGAAAGAAUGGCACAAUGGGUAAGAAGGAUUUCAGACAGCUCUCCAGUUGAGGAAGGAGGGAAAACUUGAUAAGAUUAGAGAACUCGAAUGAAAACACGACACUCCGGUUAAAUGGAUAAGCAAGAAAAGAACACGAUCCUCACGAAUCGAGAUGGUGAGUGAAAAGAGCAACGUCACAAUGCCUCCGAAAGAAAUAAUAGAAGAUAUAUCAUUGGAAUAACAGAAUGGAGAAGAAAAUGCCAACUUCUGCCACAAAUGAGUUUGGAAAGCAUCCUUGCAAAGAAGAAUUGAACGAAGUUGUUGGAAAAUCAACAACGAAAAGCACAAGCUUGUAGUGGGCUUAUGGAAAACAUCUCAAAAUUAUGAGCUGAGAACCGGCCACUAACGGAAACGAUUGCUAGCUUUAGAUCGACGAAGAGAUGAACACUUCUUCCACCAAGAUGAUAAAGAGAUAACUUGGAUCAUUGGCAAGCACCACAAAUAGCAACAUUCCAAUGGAAGGCUUUUAGGUGAAAUAUGACACAAGAUAACUCCAACAACGAGGUUGAUGGAUUUAAAAAUAACUCAUUCUUAACAACAUGUGAAUCAUGGAACAUGAACUCAAAUUAUCAAGAAUGACAUAAUACCACCUCCAAAAUAUGGUAGAAAGAAUUGCACUCCGGAUUACCAUAUGAAGAAAGCUUGAGCUCCUUAGGAAAGAAUCUCGAUGAAAACUUUGAGAAGGGAAUUAAAUCCUUGAUGAACCAUCAUGUAGAACCUCCAUGAAGAACUCCGGUAAACAAAAGGAAUGAAAAGAAAGAGAAAUUGAAAACACAAGGUGAAUCCUUGCAAUGAUUUAGAUGGACCUCCGUGAUAAUUAGAGCUUGGAACUCCGGGAAAAAGAGAAGAUGGAACAAAUGAAACCGAGAAUUUUAAGGGCCUCCGGAAUAAAGAAUUAAUCACUUGGAUGAACAAGAAUAAGAAUUAUGUUAUGCUUAUCCUUCACCAAUUAAAUUGACGACAAUCAACGGAUUUGGCAUACUACUUAUUCUCGUAGAAAGGAUUAAAAGAGAUAUAGCGCAAACUUGAGAAAGUCUUCAAUGAUCCACCGGUAGAAUUGAAAUAACAAAUACAUUGAUAUGAUGAACAAGGAAGAGAGAUCUUGAAAGAACCACCGUAAGAAUUGAAAAUGAUCGAAGUAGGGGUGCAUCACCGGUAAGAAUUAGCAAAUGAACGAAGGUGCUUGAGACAAACUAGAUACAUGAGAACAAAGAGAUCAAGAACUGAUUAGAGGAUAUUCGAUAGAUGCACCGGCAAGAUAGGAGAAUGAUAACGGACGGCUGAGAAUGAAUAAACCUGAAUUGAUGGACUCCGGAUGACAAACUGAGAAGACUCUUGAAUAUCUCCUGAUGGGUGAAAAAGAUUCUCACAAUCGAAAACAAUUAUGAGAGGAUGGCAACAAGCUAGCACCAUGAAUCUUGAAGAGAAUAGAGCAAGAUUAAAGAGAAACUCUUCUUCGGUCUUCAAAUGAUGAGAAUGACAACGAGAAACACCACCAAGAAUUAUUGAGGCACACCGGAAGAAUCAAAAGCGAAGAGGUUGAGCCAACUAUGAAAAGAAUUUGAAAGAUCUUGGAGAAAAGCAUUUGACUAAUGAUAACUCAUUCUUACGUCAAACUUGGAGAAGAAUUUAGGAUAGCUCUGGGAAAAUAGAAGAGUCAGGUAAGAUCCUGGGAAAAGACCUGUGGGUUAGGGCCCACUCAAAAGAACACCGUUGAAAAGAUUUAAAAGAGAUGUUGCACCGGUUGAAUUAAAUGACUUGAAUGAGAUACCAAUCUCGAAAGAGCUUGAACGAAUGUAGAGUGGAAACACAAAUCUUCGAGAUAUCUUGAGCACUCCGGAACAAUUUAAUAGCGAGAGAUGGAUGAUUAAGAGGUGCACCGGCAUAAGAAAAGCAUUGGGAAAAAAAAGAGGAGUAUGCUUAAUACCAAAGCUUGAAUUAAAUCCACCGGAGAAGAAAAGAACGAGGAAUGACGAACUUGAAGCUCCAUUAGAAUCUUCAUGAGAAUCACCGGAUAAGAACAUUGACGGAAAAGAAUGGAGAAACUUCCCAUCAAUAAAAUGGAUACUUGAAGAAGAAAUCUUAGUCCUUGAAGAAAAACAAAAGGGAGGGAGGGUGGGAAAAACAAAGGCAACUUGGAGACGAAUGAAACAAACACCGUUGAGAAGAAGUGAUAAAUGAUCUUGCAAAUGUUGACGUGAACGGAUCCACUUGAGGAGAGACACACCGGUUAAAAAAAAGGAUUGACAAGACAGACUCGAUGAUCAAGAAGGAUUAGUAUUCACAUAGGAAUAUGAGAACACCAUUUAGAAAAGGUAUGGAAUCAACAUUUGACUUCGAAGCAACUCGAAUACCACAACUCAAAACAAAACAAAGGAUUGGCUUGCAAAAUAAGCCAGAACAAACAUAUGAUAGAGAUUUCGUCCGAAGUUUUCGUGGUGGGGCCUACACGGGCUCGAUCGUACAGCACCAUCAUGUACAAGGCAGUGCACAUGACAUAUGAAGCGUCCCCGAGUCAGCAUAGCCAAGGACUCUUUAAGACACAACGAGAGCACUGUAAAACCAACCGUGAAUAGGCGGACCACUAGACGUCGAACCCCAAUUUCAUAUCAUACAUCCGUCGGAAAGAUAUCCUAAGAGCUACUUGAGUUCCCACCUAUGAAACUCCCGAAAUUUUCAGGUUAUGCAAUCAGGUGUUGGGGAUACAGGGGAAGCAUAAUAUCUCACCCAAAACUAACAAAUCCUACAUCCAGCUGUAUCCAUCCUUCAACACAUAACCAAGAAACCUUCGGAAAUCGUCUACCUCAACCUUCGAAAAGCAUCCGUUAUACAAGUCAUGGCAAUACUCCCAUACUCACCUCAGUACUGGGUUAUCGGGGUUAUCUCACCAACAACUGCAUAAAAGAGAUUUUCGAUGUCGGCGUACUAAACUCAGGUAUUCCAGAACUGCAACGAUAAAAUUAUGACGACAACACCUCAGAGCUCAACUCCCCGGGACACUUCCACUAAACCCCUGACAGGAGGCACCAAGACAAUGUUCUCAUCAUAAAACCAUCGGAACGAUUCUAAGAUACCCGCGUGAUCCUAAAAAAAAAAUUAGUGAAAUUUGAGAAGAGAAGAGUCAAAACUCUACGUCAGGAUGCCUUACCAGAGCGAUGAGGAGACUGGGAAGUAAAAAGAAUUCCUAACUCUCCGAUAUAUAAUUCCUAAAUGACUCAAAACAUUUUUCUAGACACAACUCGGCUGCUAAAAACGAUCAAGCAAUGGGGGGCUCCUAAGGUCGGGGAAGGCUCUGAUUACCAACUUGUAACGCCCUCGAUGCGGCUAUAUCUCCCACGUGUCGAAGCACGACUUAGAGGCAUAACCGCAUUGAAAGCAAUGUCGCAAGUGAGGUAAUCUUCACACAACCCAUGUAAUACAUAAGGGAAAGAGAUACAUAGUUGGCUUACAAUCGCCACUUCACACAAUUACAUGAAUAAAGCAUUACAUCAUCCAGAUACAAUCAAGGUCCGACUACGGAACCAAAAUAAAAGAAGAACCCCAAAUGCGACAAAGGUCCCUGAUCGACCCCAACUGGGCUCCACUACUGAUCAACUAGAAUGAAACAACACAAAGGGCAAGAUCUUCAUCGAGCUCCUCCUUGAGCUUGGUUGCGUCA
rnacentral:lncRNA from 1 species